CGACAACUGCCACGCGGUCACAUUGUGUUCGAGAAAACUCGUGAAGUUAUAACAAGUUUAAAAAAGUGACAAAAUUUGUGAUUCAAUUAGUGUUGGACUGUAAACAAGAAUUAAAACAUAAAAUAUGUCGCUAUUUGGUGCAUUAAUGGGUGAUUUCGAUGAUGAUCUCGGAUUCAUGAACAAUCCUAUGAACCACCACAUGAACGCUAUGAAUAUGCAAAUGCGCUCGAUGAAUCGUUUGAUGAACUCCUUCAUGCCGGAUCCUUUUAAUAUGCUGGGUCCCUCUCCAUUCGAUGCGGGAUUCCAACAGGGCUCAUUGAUGGAGCGUAAUCAGAAUGCAAUGGCACCAAUGGGCGGCGGUUUAUUUGGCUUUCCAGCCAUGCCCAAUUUCAACCGUUUGCUAAAUGCCGACAUUGGCGGUAAUAGCGGCUCCUCGUUUUGCCAAAGCACAGUGAUGACCAUGUCCUCGGGUCCAGAUGGACGUCCACAGAUUUAUCAGGCUAGCACCAGCACCAAAACUGGACCUGGUGGCGUGCGCGAAACACGCAAGACCGUUCAGGACUCACGUUCAGGCUUGAAAAAGAUGGCCAUUGGUCAUCACAUUGGCGAUCGCGCACACAUCAUCGAGAAGGAGCAGGAUUUGCGCUCUGGCCAGCUAGAAGAGCGUCAGGAGUUCAUCAAUUUAGACGAAGAGGAGGCCGAACAGUUCGACCGCGAGUUCACAUCACGCGCAACACGCGGCAUUUUACCUCAUGGAAGUGGUCACAGCGGUUUGCAUGCCAUACGCGGCGCUCGCCCAGCUGCUGGAGGCUCGACGGUUACCAUUGAGCCGCUCGACGACGACGAUGAUGAUGAUUGUGUGAUCCAGGAGCCGUCACGCACCGGCCGUCAAUUGCCAGCUCUGCCCGCACCCCCAACGGCCCCGCACAGCAGCGCCGAUACAACAACAACUUCGCCACGUCGCGACGCUCCAUCGGCAACAGCAGCAGCUGCAGCAACAACAUCAGCCUCUUCGCCCCUAACUUAUGAUGCAACUAACAACAAUUAUUUGGGCGUUGGAAAUACGUCAGCAUCGCGUCGCGCCUAUAUGCGCAAUGGUCAGCACUUGGCCACGCCCCGUCGACCACUACGUACGCCUUCGUCGUCGCCGCUGGCCACCGUAUCGAGCGCUAGUCACAGCAUUGCCGGCACGCCAAGAGAUUGGCGUUUAUAUAACUCACGUUUCUAUAGAAAAUAGAAAUAUCUAUGUGCAUAAUAUAUGAUCCAUAAAAUAUAAUGAACUUAUACACAUAUAAAUAUUUAACAUAUACACCACAACGUAAUUGAAUGAGACGCGUUACGUGCAACGUUGCGACGUAAUCAAAACCACCUACUAACCAGUAACUGCGUUUGGCGACGGCGCUCCAACUCGCUAUUUAUCUAAAUCGCCCGCUGUGCUCCGUCAUGAAAUUUCAUCGCUGCGACGCUACGAAUCAUCUACGUUACGCAUCUCUGCAACGUCACACACACGUCGUUACGUGCCCCCACAUGUUACGUCAUACAUCCACAUCCCUAUGCUGCGAAUCCGGCUGCUGCCCGUCGCCAGCAGCGUCUGAAGCAUCAUCAA